UCCUAUGUUCAAUAUUUACCUAAG
rnacentral:snRNA from 1 species